rnacentral:tRNA from 1 species
GACAGAGCGGUCAAUACGAAUGGUCAAUUUUUGCAACGUAUUGAUUUUAAAGAUGAUGUGACGGCCUGCAAAGCCGUUUAGGCCGGUUCGACUCCGGCUCGCGCCUCCA